rnacentral:rRNA from 1 species
AUGGAGAAUGCACUGUCCAAGUUGUGGGAUAUGUAUGAGCAGUCCAAGAGAAACAGGACUGAGGACAAUCUGACGAACUCAUUUGCUGUUCACAAACUGACACAAGAGAAGAUCAAGCUGCAGGCCAGUUAUGACAAGUUGGUUGGAGAUGUUCAAGCCCUUCUGGAUGAGAAUGAGAGGAGGGCCCAGAUGGAAAGGAAGCCUGAUGAGAGCAAGCUCCAGGAGAAGUAUGACAUGGUUAAGAACCUGACAGUAUCUCAAGCCAGUGUCAUUAGGAACAUGAAGUUGAAGCUUGCUGAAGAGAAGACUAAGUUGCAGGCCCAUAUUGAUGAGCUUGAGAAGGUUGUGGAGCAGACCAAGGCCAAGCUGAAUGGGAUCAAGGCAAUCUUAGAUGAAUGA